rnacentral:rRNA from 1 species
GGUGGUUUGUCGCGUUGUUCGUGAAAACUCACAGCUUAACUGUGGGCGUGCGGGCGAUACGGGCAGACUGGAGUACUGCAGGGGAGACUGGAAUUCCUGGUGUAGCGGUGGAAUGCGCAGAUAUCAGGAGGAACACCGGUGGCGAAGGCGGGUCUCUGGGCAGUAACUGACGCUGAGGAGCGAAAGCGUGGGGAGCGAACAGGAUUAGAUACCCUGGUAGUCCACGCCGUAAACGGUGGGUACUAGGUGUGGGUUUCCUUCCUUGGGAUCCGUGCCGUAGCUAACGCAUUAAGUACCCCGCCUGGGGAGUACGGCCGCAAGGCUAAAACUCAAAGAAAUUGACGGGGGCCCGCACAAGCGGCGGAGCAUGUGGAUUAAUUCGAUGCAACGCGAAGAACCUUACCUGGGUUUGACAUGCACAGGACGUCGGCAGAGAUGUCGGUUCCCUUGUGGCCUGUGUGCAGGUGGUGCAU